rnacentral:lncRNA from 1 species
CCCAACUAAUGCAAUAAUCCAAAAAAUAUAAAUGGUUAAAAAAGCGAUCUAAACCCACCUCACAAUUUUUUUUUUGGUUGUGUCUAUGAAUUGCGAUCUCCAUGCAACACCAUUCCCAGUUCUGGGUCCGAGUUUGAUGGGUGUUUGACCUGAUAUUUCCAUUUUCAGUCCGUCGAGGGGUGUUGUCUGAACAAUGAGAGCGUGGUACGACUCACCAGAUCUUACUAAAAAUAGGCGCGAUCUCAUGAAGCGCAAUAAAAUGAGGAUGGGCGGAUGAGUUUGCCUUCUUGGAGGGGG